UACGGGGGGAGCAAGCGUUGUUCGGAUUUACUGGGCGUAAAAGGCUUGUAGGUGGCCACGCCAAGUCGGAUGUGAAAAUCUCCCGGCUCAACUGGGAGGGGUCAUUCGAUACUGGCGGGCUCGAGGCCGGUAGGGGGGAAGCGGAAUUCCCGGUGUAGUGGUGGAAUGCGUAGAUAUCGGGAGGAACACCAGUGGCGAAGGCGGCUCACUGGACCGGUAUUGACGCUGAGGUGCGAAAAGCGUGGGGGAGCAAAACAGGG
rnacentral:rRNA from 1 species